GUAAUCUAAUUACUAAUUAAUUCUUCAUAAAUAAUAGAGUCCCAGUCUCAGUAGGACUUUUUCACAGAAUUUGAGUCCAAGUUGGACUCUUUAUCAGAGUCACAAUCCAAUUGGACUCUUUAGCCAUCAGAUCUGACCAAAUCUUCUAAUGCGUGUGACCCCAUAGGUACAAACCUAAGUCAAUAGCAUGGGAACAACUUUCUAUACCAAUCGAUGUAACUAUCUAGUAAUGAUGACCC
rnacentral:lncRNA from 1 species